rnacentral:rRNA from 1 species
GAUGAACGCUGGCGGCGUGCCUAAUACAUGCAAGUAGAACGGUGAAGGAGGAGUUUGCUCUUCUGGAUGAGUCGCGAACGGGUGAGUAACGCGUAGGUAACCUGCCUGGUAGCGGGGGAUAACUAUUGGAAACGAUAGAUAAUACAGCAUGACAACAGUUAUUGCAUGAUAACUGUCUAAAAGGGGCAAAUGCUACACUACCAGAUGGACCUGCGUUGUAUUAGCUAGAUUGUGGGGUAACGGCUCACCAAGGCGACGGUACAUAGCCGACCUGAGAGGGUGGUUAGGCCCACUGGGACUGAGACCCGGCCCAGAGUCCCUCGGGGAGGAGCAGUAGGGAAACUUCGGCCAUGGGCGGAAGUCCUACCGAGCACCGCCGCGGGGUGUAAAAAAGUUCUCGGGUCGGAAAGGUCUGUUAUAAGGGAAGAACGAGCAUUAGAGUGGAAAGUUGACGCUGUGACGGUACCUUCACAAAAAGCACCGGCUAACUACGUG